GUGGGUUACAGCUCAGUGACAAAGCAUGUGCUUAGCACGCACAAGGUCCUGGGUUCAAUUCCCAGUAUUUACA
rnacentral:tRNA from 1 species